UCAAACUUGGUCAUUUAGAGGAAGUAAAAGUCGUAACAAGGUUUCCGUAGGUGAACCUGCGGAAGGAUCAUUAACAAAUCGUGCUGCGGGGCGGCGGCUUGCUGCUGCUCUGCACAUCUGCUCCGCGCAGCCUGCGGGCGGCGCGUGAACACAUUUGUCCGUCUGUCUGAUUGAUUGACUGAUGGUGUGCGACGCACACAAACGAAAACAACAACUUUUAACAAUGGAUCUCUAGGCUCCUGCAUCGAUGAAGAACGCAGC
rnacentral:misc_RNA from 1 species